GACGAACGCUGGCGGCGUGCUUAACACAUGCCAGUCGAACGAAGAGCGAUGGAAGCUUGCUUCUAUCAAUCUUAGUGGCGAACGGGUGAGUAACGCGUAAUCAACCUGCCCUUCAGAGGGGGACAACAGUUGGAAACGACUCCUAAUACCGCAUACGAUCCAAUCUCGGCAUUGGGACUGGAUGAAAGUUUGCCUCUAUUUAUAAGCUAUUACUGUAGGUGGGGAUUUCGUCUGAUUAGCUAGUUGGGGGGGGAACGGGCCGCCAAGGCGAGGAUCAGUAGACGGUCUGAGAGGAUGAACGGCCGCAUGGGGACUGGGACACGGCCAAGACGCCUACGGGAGGGAGCAGUGGGGAAUCUUACGCAAUGGACGGAAGUCUGACGGAGCAACGCCGCGUGAGUGAUAGCAGCCUUCGGGUUGGAAAGCUCUGUUAAGCGGGACGAAUGGUUCUUGUGCGAAUAGUGCGAGGAUUUGACGGUACCGGAAGAGAAAGCCACGGCUAACUACGUG
rnacentral:rRNA from 1 species